CAGUCGCCGCGGGAAUACGGAGGGUGCAAGCGUUAAUCGGAAUUACUGGGCGUAAAGCGCACGCAGGCGGUCUGACAAGUCAGAUGUGAAAUCCUUGGGCUUAACUUAGGAAUUGCAUUCGAUACUGGGAAGCUAGAGUAUGGGAGAGGAUGGUAGAAUUCCAGGUGUAGCGGUGAAAUGCGUAGAGAUCUGGAGGAAUACCGAUGGCGAAGGCAGCCAUCUGGCCUAAUACUGACGCUGAGGUACGAAAGCAUGGGGAGCAAACAGGAUUAGAUACCCCAGUAGUCCCUGUCUCUUAUAC
rnacentral:rRNA from 1 species